GCUGCUGCAGUUGGCAACGUUAGCAUUUCAAAAAACAAAAACAAAAAAGAAGCAGAAAACCGUUUAAAAAUAACGCACUUCUAAUUGGUAGUGUGUACACACUGCAGCAACUAAACGACAACGACAAGCAAACGGGCAACGAAAAUGAAACUGAACUUUUCGUCGCGAUCCCGUUGCCGAUACUAACGGCAGUCACAGACACAGACACACAUUGCGCCAAGUUCUGCUACGAUCGUUAGGCAGACGGACGACGCUCGCGCUCGUCGAUUUGCUGCUGCUGCUGCUGCUCCUCGGAACUGCGUGCCCCGUUCUUCUUGUUGUUGUUGUUGUUGUUUUUGGUUUUGUUGCUGUUGGCCUGUGCUUUAACUUAGUAGAUUGCGAUGGCAGCGUUGGUAGCGGUGGCAACGGCAGAGGCAGAGGCAGAGGCAGCGGCAGGGCAGAGGCGCCGCGCUCUCACUUUUUCACAUGUGUUCAAAUGUCUUGGAAUCGAACGUAGCAGCGACGACGGCGGCAGCGGCAGAGCAACGGGAAUAGAGACAGUUAACUGAUGCGCCCGGCCUAUGGCGAUUCUGAAUCUGAUUUCGAUUUCGAAUCCAACAGUCGAGCCAAGGAAACGCACGCACACACACACACGCACACGCACACACUGGCAUGCAAUACGUGUGCGUGUUUUGCUCUCUGGGGGCAUGGUAGAUGGUGUAGGCAGAAGGAAUCUAUGGGCAUUACUGUGCUGCAACAGCAACAGCAGCAGCAGCAGCAGCAGCGAGUGGGAAAAAUCGUAGACUAUAAAUAGAUACAAGUAUGCUCGAUAUAUACGUAGUAUAUGCACAUGUACUCUAUAUACAUACAUGUGUGUGUGCGUGUGUGUGUGUGUGCAUAUGCACCCCAAAGAAGCUGCGACUCGGUUGAUGAUCUUUCAGUAAAAAAAAAAAAAAAACCGAAAACAUAACAGAAACUGUUAAGUUGGAAUAUGUUAAAAUUCUUUACACAGAUCUUUACAGUUUCCCUUAUUAAUAUAAACAUUAUAUAUAGAAUUUGUAAGUUAAGGUAUUGGUAGCAAGAUUUGUUGUUUUAACUGGGUUAUUGGCAAAUUUACGUACGCUUUGUAUAGAUCGGACUUUAUUGUUAUAAAGUCUAUACUUAAAUAAUGGGAAAUAUGAAAGAAUUCUCUUUGCGCAGAUCUUCCCUCAUUCUCUCCAAUAGGAUCAGACUUCAAUAUCAUUAAGUUUUUACUCGUAUAAUUCUGCAGAUUGGUAAAUGGAAGAAUUCUUUAGACGAAUUCCUGAUUCUUUUCUAUAGAUCUUUGCGGGAAUCAUCAUUUGAUCAUUUGAAUAGUUGCCCGGUAUUUCUAGCAAAGGUUUCUUACUAAGUUAUCUAUUGGAAAGUUUGUAAAAUAUAUAUGCAAGAGUUCUUAAUGCCAGAUAUAAGAAAAGAAAGGACAAGAAACGGUAACUCGCUCAAGGAGUUCCUCAGGUGCGCUAUAAAAAAGUAGAAAGGUUUUUAUACCUAUUCCUUUCUAACUAGCUUUUCGAACAGUACAAACAAGAUCAGAUUAUAUUUUAGCUUAUAUUAUAUACCUAUUUUAGGAUUAAGUUGGAAUAUUGUUCUAAAUUACUUUGAUUCCAUUCGAAUGGAAGUUCCAUUCUAAGUGGGUUUUGUUCAAGAAUUGUUUCAGUAAUUCAGUUUCUAAAGUAAAAUUGAGCUCUGCCGUUUAAAGGUGGAUAUUAAAAUAUGCUAAGAA